GGCGGGGUAGCUCAGCUGGUUAGAGCGACGGACUCAUAACCCGUAGGUCGAGAGUUCGAGUCUCUCCCCCGCCA
rnacentral:tRNA from 1 species